GUAGGUGAACCUGCGGAAGGAUCAUUAGAGAAUUCAGUACGUCCUUUAUUGGAGUACGCUUUUUCCACAUUCCAUCACACCGUGAACUGUAAUACCCUUUAUUAAAACUCUAUAACUAGUUGAAGAAUGUAACCCUUUCAUAGAAAGAAAUAAAACUUUUAACAACGGAUCUCUUGGCUCUCGCAUCGAUGAAGAACGCAGCAUCUGACUGACUACUCCGAGG
rnacentral:misc_RNA from 1 species